rnacentral:lncRNA from 1 species
AAGCUCUGCACAAAAGGGGGAGUUAGACAAACUGCUUAAAGUCAGUGGGCAGUGAAAAGAAGCUGGAAGCGAGCAGACCCAGACCUCAUUGUCUCUCACAUGUACCCAGUACCACAACCCCACAGAACAUUUCUGUGGGCAUGGCACCCUGGAAGAAGAAAACUUGACUUAAAAUGUAGUCGAUUUGGUUAUUUUGUGGCAUUAGGGAUCUGGAGCUCCAUCCCACAAGAUCUCCAUAUAAGCAGACACCACACACAGCCCAGUGGAUGUGGUUCCGAAGGAAAUACUUUCCUUCAUUUUUAAAAAAUACUCAUUCUGAGAUUCACACAGAGCAGUUAAUUCUCCGUGACCGGGUGUAGCUCAUGUAAGACACUGAUGGAGCUGGACACUGAGACAGAAAGCAAAACCAAGCCAACUCCAAAAGAUCCAAAAGCAUGCAUGGUAAAUUCUCUGACCACUGUAUCAGUCCAGACGGAGCAAACCCCGAAGGACCCAAGCCUCUGUGUAUUUACAGAUUCAGCAGCUUGGUAAAUAAUCUGGAAGUCAAAAUGGGAGAUCACAGCAGAGCUCAGGAGCUGCUUUCAAAUGAGUGACAGGGGAGUAACAUUGAAGAGAAAAAAGCAGACAUAUGACCAGCGAAGCUUGGAAAUCUUGCCACGGUGGAUUGUUUUAAGGUUUAAAAGUAGUUAACCACACAAUGAGGCCAUGAAGAUAGAUGUUCAAACCCCGUUACAGUAUGUUCCAUGGAAGACUUGGGAAACUGCAGUGCCUGAAGACGGCAAGCAUGCUGCCAUUGGCUCAAGUCAAUACAAUAAGAGGACACCAGAGAUUUAACCCAGAACUGCAAAUCAGGCUCCUGGCCAUUGCAAAUGCAAGGACAAUAUUGUCUGCAGAGCUAGCAAGGGCAUCUCAUGCUCCUGAGGGAUUUGUCUACAGAACGACCUGUGUAUGUAGACAUUCUGAGAUAUUUUGAGCAUCGGAGAUGGCAUUGAUGAAAUGCAAGCAACUAUUUCAAGAUAUGUUUAAAUGAAUGAGAAGUCACCCGUGGUAGUUGUACUAUAAAUAGAAGAUUUGUAUCCUCUGAAAUAUGAGUUUAUCACAAAAGAAGCAAGUAAACUUCAUGGGAAU